rfam:Limnoraphis robusta CS-951 contig075, whole genome shotgun sequence.
GUCAACGACCCACCACUAAUCGGAGUACCGAUAUAGUGGGGGCUUGCAGAAAGCCAUAGUUGACCAGACUAAGUACCUUGGGUACUCCGUUAGAAGCAAGCGUUCAACUUCCUACCCGGAAAUGCGUCGCUAGUUUCCGGCUCUAGAACUCGGUCACUAAACAUCUGUAAGGGUUAAGGAAGUGUGACUGAGAAAGUACCGACUUCUAACAUUGUCUAAGCGAACAUUAC